UUCCCUUUCAAGAUGGCAGACAAACUCCCUUCGGAGUUCGAUGUGGUGGUGAUAGGGACCGGUUUGCCGGAGUCCAUUGUUGCAGCUGCUUGCUCAAGGAGUGGCCAGAGCGUUCUCCAUGUUGAUUCAAGAAGCUAUUAUGGAGGAAACUGGGCCAGUUUCAGCUUUUCAGGAUUAUUGUCCUGGAUAAAGGAGUAUCAGGAAGAGAGUGAUGGGGAUGAAUGGGCAGCAUGGCAAGAGCUGGUACUGGAAGCAGAAGAAGGCAUUGCUCUUCGUAAGAAAGACCAGACCAUCCAACACGUGGAAGUCAUUUGUUAUGCCAGUCAGGAUUCAGAUGAACAUGUUGAAGAAGUCGGUGCUGUGCAGAAAAAUCCUGCCUUUGUGACGUCUGCUAGCUCAAAUGAUCCUCCGGACUCAACCGGCACAGCUUGCUCUGAUACGUCUGAAUUAACAGCGCCGCUCAGUGAGCCAGAGACUUCACAGGAAGUACCUGAUGUAGAUGCGACACUGGGGAACGAAAACCAUGUUGGUGAUGCGGAUUGUAGCGAGUCACCUUUGGAACAGGAAAAAGCUGAAAAUGUACCUGUAGGAGAAGCUGUUGUUGAUGUGCCCAAGAAGAAUAGGAUUACUUACUCCCAAAUUGUUAAAGAAGGCAGGAGAUUUAAUAUUGAUUUGACCUCAAAGCUGCUUUAUUCUCGAGGAUUGCUAACUGACCUUCUAAUAAAAUCAAGCGUUAGUCGAUAUGCAGAGUUCAAAAAUGUUACCAGGAUUCUUGGAUAUCGAGAAGGGAAUGUAUUACAGGUACCUUGCUCUAGAGCAGAUGUUUUUAAUAGCAAGAAACUCACCAUGGUAGAAAAGAGGAUGCUGAUGAAAUUUCUGACAUUUUGUUUGGACUAUGAACAGAAGCCUGAGGACUACAAAGUUUAUGAGGAAUGUCCUUUUUCCGAAUACUUGAAAACUCAAAAACUGACGCCCAGCCUGCAACACUUUGUCCUUCAUUCCAUUGCAAUGACAUCAGAGGGAUCCACCAGCACAUUGGACGGCCUCAGAGAAACGCAGAACUUUCUUCGGUGUCUCGGGCGGUAUGGCAACACCCCCUUCUUGUUUCCCUUGUAUGGCCAAGGAGAACUGCCCCAGUGUUUUUGCAGGAUGUGUGCGGUAUUUGGAGGAACCUAUUGUCUAAGCCAUGCAGUACAGUGCCUUGUAGUGGACAAAGAAUCUGGAAAAUGUAAGGCAAUCAUAGAUCACUUUGGUCAGAGGAUAAGUGCUAAGUAUUUUAUCGUUGAAGACAGUUACCUUACCGAGAAAACAUGUUCAAAUGUGGCCUACAGGCAGAUCUCAAGGGCAGUGCUGAUUACAGAUCGAUCUGUACUGAAGGCAGAUUCUGAUCAGCAGACUUCCAUUUUGACAGUGCCGCCAGAGGAGCCAGGAUCUGUUGCUGUCCGGGUCGUUGAGUUUUGCUCUUCCACCAUGACAUGCAUGAAAGGAACAUAUCUUGUCCAUUUGACUUGUCCAUCCUCAAAAAAAACAGCAAGAGAAGAUUUAGAGUCAGUUGUGCAGAAAUUGUUCGUGCCGUAUGCCGAGGCAGAAUUGGAAAAUGAAGAAGUAGAAAAGCCAAACCUUCUGUGGGCCCUUUAUUUCAACAUGAGAGAUUCUUCAGGCAUCGACAGAGACUCCUAUAAUGACUUACCUUCAAACGUGUAUGUCUGCUCUGGACCAGACUGUUCGCUGGGAAAUAAGAAUGCUGUCCAACAGGCUGAAACUCUUUUCCGGCACAUCUUGCCAAAUGAAGAGUUCUGCCCCCCUCCGCCAAAUCCUGAAGAUAUUGUUUUCGAUGGAGAUGGUGUGCAACCAGAGGUUCCUGCCCCCAAGCCAGAGGCUGCUGAAGACAUCACAGGCCAAGGAGAUGCAGAAGAGUGCCUGGAAAAAUAGAUGACUGCCAGACUGGGAGCCCUGCUUCAAAAAUCGUCUUCAUACGAGCAGAGUUAGAAAAUGAAAAGCAAUAGCUGUGCAUCUUUUUUUUUUUUUUUUUUUUUUGCAAAAUCACAUUAAAAGCAACCAGAAGGGUUUCCCCUCCCCACCCCAAAGAAGGGCAUUGCUGCACAAAGUCAAAACCACACUUUUCAAACACAUUUGUUCUUUCUGUUUUAAAAUGUUAGAACUUUUGAAUUGAUGGGUGGAAUUUUCCAGUGUUUUGUCUCCCAGGAGUCACUGUCCGGGUUAAGGGACCUGAUGAAUUGUUAGCUGGUAUGUAGUGUACAGACAGUUUUUCGUCCACUUCUUUAGGCUCAGAGGAGUCAUUCUCCAAAGGCUUGGACCCCUGCCCUGGCUUGUUUCCAAUGAAUCGUGAGUGGGCCAGUCGCAUACACAUGCAUGACACCAGAUGCCUGUAAUGCAGGCAUUUGAAAUAAAUCUGAGGACCAGAUACAGCCAAGAUGUCCAAGAGUCUUCAAGAACCAUAUAUCAAGGUGAUCCCUGGCUCAAUAGCAUUAUUGUGAGCUUUUCUGCUUUGCCGUAUUUGUGUACCGGAGUACAGAAUGAUUCACUUGGACGCUCUGAGUUAUGGAAAGUAGAUAUGAUAUGGCUGCCCACCAGACCUGCUUUUCUUAAAGAGACAGCUCCUCAUUCCUCUCAGAAGGCUUGAUUGGGAGCAUUAACACCUCUUUGCUUGCAGAAUAAAUGAAGACUUGGAGAUCAAUUGCCUAAGGAAAUCAUAGUAGGAUUAUGCUGUAACCCUGAAGUGACAGACACAUUACUUCUGACUUCACCUAAUACAUCUGGCAGUACAGUACACACAGACUCUGUCAUUAUGAGUUGAAUCAAAUUGAACCGGACCUACUGAUGUGGCCCCCUCCAGGGCCUAAGAACCAAGGUCACCCAAUGCAAGGGGAGUUCAAGGGUCAUACCUCAGGAUGAUCGUAGUUGUUUUCUUAUUGCCAAGGCUUUUAAGCUUUUGGCCCCUACCUCGUUGCAGCAACACAUCCUUGAAGUUGUGUGAGCUCAGAGUCUGGUUAACAACAGUGAAAUCUAGGCCUAAUCAACCAUCUUUCUGCUGUUUAAACCUAUAGAGUACAAGCUCCCUGGAAGCAAAGGGCCAAUUUUCUUUCCUCUUUGUAUCUCCAACAUCCAGUACACUUUGUUGUGCGUUGCAGAUGUUUAAAUGCAUGUUGAUGGGAACUGAAUUGUCUACUGGCAGUCUGUCACUUGAGGAUACUUAAGGCCAAAGCCUACUUCAGGUGCCACCUUCUACACAAGUCCUUCUCUGAUUCCCCAGCUGUUACACUCUCUCUUUCUUGAAAAUAUCUGAUUUCUUCGUAUUUACCGGUCACAUCCUAUCGUGGUCUUCUUGCAAGGUACCCUUGAUAUACCUGUAUACCCUAGAAUUGAGUUGUCUAAAGUCAGUCUGAUUUCUCCUGAGGAGCAGGGACGUGAAUACUGCCCCCAACAGUGACAAAGGGUAAAAUCUACUUCUGCCAUAAGUAGUAGCCACACUUCUCCAGUGUUGUUUAUCGGAGAAAAUCAACAGUGAGUGUUAAUGGUAUGCUGUAAAUAUGUGCUGGGGGAAAAUGCUGAGGACAGGUGCAAACAAUUUCUGUGUGGAAAAUCAAAUACAACUAUAAUGAUAUGUGAAGGAAGAACAGAUGUUUCAUAGACCAAGUACCAUUCCCUUCAUUCAUGUGUUCCUUAUUAAAAAGCAAAGUCACUUUCACUGACCAAUAGAAACAUUGCUUUGUUUGGGGUUUAAUACAAACACAAAUAAUUAAAGGGUAACAUAAAAUGA